rnacentral:rRNA from 1 species
UACGUAGGGGGCAAGCGUUGUCCGGAUUUAUUGGGCGUAAAGAGCUCGUAGGCGGUUUGGUAAGUCUGGUGUGAAAUCUCCACGCUCAACGUGGAGGGGCCACCCGAUACUGCCAUGACUGGAGUCCGGUAGAGGAGUGUGGAAUUCCCGGUGUAGCGGUGAAAUGCGCAGAUAUCGGGAGGAACACCCGUAGCGAAGGCGGCACUCUGGGCCGAUACUGACGCUGAGGAGCGAAAGCGUGGGGAGCGAACAGG